UCAAUGGUGGUUCAGUGGUAGAAUUCUCACCUUCCGUGCAGAAGACCUGGGUUUGAUUCCCAGCCAUGCAU
rnacentral:tRNA from 1 species